GAACGCUGGCGGAAUGCUUUACACAUGCAAGUCGAACGGCAGCAUAGAGAGCUUGCUCUCUGAUGGCGAGUGGCGAACGGGUGAGUAAUAUAUCGGAACGUGCCUAGUAAUGGGGAAUAACUAACUGAAAGGUUAGCUAAUGCCGCAUACGACCUACGGGUGAAAGCAGGGGAUCUUCGGACCUUGCGUUAUUAGAGCGGCCGAUAUCUGAUUAGCUUGUUGGUGGGGUAAUGGCCUACCAAGGCGACGAUCAGUAGCUGGUCUGAGAGGACGAUCAGCCACACUGGAACUGAGACACGGUCCAGACUCCUACGGGAGGCAGCAGUGGGGAAUUUUGGACAAUGGGGGCAACCCUGAUCCAGCCAUUCCGCGUGAGUGAAGAAGGCCUUCGGGUUGUAAAGCUCUUUCGCAAGAGAAGAAAACUUACUAUCUAAUAAAUAGUAAGUAUGACGGUAUCUUGACAAGAAGCACCGGCUAACUACGUGCCAGCAGCCGCGGUAAUACGUAGGGUGCAAGCGUUAAUCGGAAUUACUGGGCGUAAAGCGUGCGCAGGCAGUUUUAUAAGUCAGAUGUGAAAUCCCCGAGCUCAACUUGGGAACUGCGUUUGAAACUGUAAGACUAGAGUGUGUCAGAGGGGGGUAGAAUUCCAAGUGUAGCAGUGAAAUGCGUAGAGAUUUGGAGGAAUACCAAUGGCGAAGGCAGCCCCCUGGGAUAACACUGACGCUCAUGCACGAAAGCGUGGGGAGCAAACAGGAUUAGAUACCCUGGUAGUCCACGCCCUAAACGAUGUCUACUAGUUGUUGGUGGAGUAAAAUCCAUGAGUAACGCAGCUAACGCGUGAAGUAGACCGCCU
rnacentral:rRNA from 1 species